rnacentral:lncRNA from 1 species
AAAGGUUUUCCACUAAAUCAAAACCAGAUUUAUCUAUGUAACAGUAAUGGCAGUAACAACAGUAACAUGAAUGUCAAACUGAAGCAAUUUCUUACGGUAUUUGUAUUUCGAGGACGACUCUCCUUUGGCGUAUAAUUUCGAGAACCAGCAAAUCUUGUGUUUUCGAGGUUUACUCUGCCAAAAACACAACCACGUCUAGUGUUAACUAGCAGAUUUCAAGCAAAUACAUUGACAAUUCGAUGAAUAACAUGUGACAUAUGAUUACAGAUACCGUUGAAGGAUUGCAGGGAACAUAUGGAUGAGAGUUUGAAAUAUUCAUCAAUUGAGAUGAAUUAAAGUUGUCUUCAGCAUAAGAAGGGUUAAACCUGAGUUCAUGCUUCUCAAAUUUCUGGGUAAUAGUAAUGGCAGUAACAACAUUAACAUGAGUAUAAAACUAAAGCAAAUUCUUACCAUAUUAAUACACCAGAACCCGCAAAUCUAGUCGGCUUCGAACGCUUACUCUGUCAAAAACACAACCAGGUCCAGUAUUGACAAAUCCGUGAAUAAUAUGUAACAACAUAUGAUUAAAGAUACCGAUGAAGGAUUGCAGGGAACAUGCAGCUGAGAGUUUGAAGUAUUCGUCUAUAGAGACGAAAUAAAGUUCUCUUCAGUAUAACUAGGGUUAAAGUCAUUUCUAGUGGGAUUAGGAUCAGAAGAUACGACGGCUAAGUUGAAUUCGCUGGUUACUGGAGCUUGCAUUAUUAGAGGCUUUGAUCAUAGAGUGAUUGAAGGGGAAAACAGACAAUGUUGGAUCUUGUUGGUGUGCGUGCUUUUAUAAUCUUGAUUGUAGUAUAUCAUAUUAUGCAAUACAAUAUAACAUUGUAUCAUAUUACAUAAGAUUACAUCAUAUCAUAUUAGAGCAUUCACAUUGGGUUCUCUAUUUUCAUCUUUAUGUAUGAGUUAACUAAAGAACACCUUUAGUUAAUGUGAUAUAAGAUUACAUCAUAUUAUAUUAGAGCAUUCACAUUGGGUUCUCUAUCUUGAUCAUAUUAUAUCUAAAACUCAUAAAAAUAUAGAGAAUUAAUGUGUUGAGUGAAUACGAAUGCUAAAUGUGAGGAAUGGAAACAUGAAAAACUACUCACUGGUGGAGGUCGAGCAUUAGAAGCAUGAAAAACUACUCACCAGUGGAGGUCGAGCCUUACAAGUAAAGUUUGAUAACGUCUACCCAUUUGAAAAGCUUUGUUGCCUUGCCUUUUGAGUCUCCUUUCUUCUUCAUCACAUGUAAGGUCACCUUACAGGCGGUUGUUUAAUACCGACCUCUCAUCACUUCUUCCUUUCUUCCCUUUCACCCAUCACAGUUGUGGUGGCGGCUAC